GAUGAAGAACGCAGUGAAAUGCGAUACGUAAUGUGAAUUGCAGAAUUCAGUGAAUCAUCGAGUCUUUGAACGCACAUUGCGCCCCCUGGUAUUCCGGGGGGCAUGCCUGUCCGAGCGUCAUUGCUGCCCUCAAGCACGGCUUGUGUGUUGGGCCUCCGUCCUCCUCCCGGGGGACGGGCCCGAAAGGCAGCGGCGGCACCGCGUCCGGUCCUCGAGCGUAUGGGGCUUCGUCACCCGCUCUUGUAGGCCCGGCCGGCGCUUGCCGACACAUCAAUCUUUUUUCCAGGUUGACCUCGGAUCAGGUGGGGAUACCCGCUGAACUUAAGCAUAUCAUAAGCGGAGGA
rnacentral:misc_RNA from 1 species